GUUAAAGAUGCGCUACCUUCAAAUAUUUUCUGUUCUUCUUUUUAGUGUUGGAAAGUUCACGAUUGGCAAAUUUCAAGCUGUAGUAAAUGCACAACCUCAAAAACAAUUAAGAAAGCAAUUUGUUGGAACAUGAAGAAAGCAGAAAGCAAUUUGUUGGAACAUGAAGAAAUCAAUUUGUUGGAACAUGAAGAACCCAGAAAGCAAUUUGUUGGAACAUGAAGACCUUCAAAUGUGUUUUCUGUUUGAUCAAAGGCCUUAAAGAAACAAAACUGCUUCCUG